UACGUAGGGAGCAAGCGUUGUCCGGAAUCAUUGGGCGUAAGCGCGCGUAGGCGGCCCUGUAAGUCCGUUGUGAAAGUCAAAGGCUCAACCUUUGAAAGCCGAUGGAUACUGCAGGGCUAGAGUCCGGAAGAGGCGAGUGGAAUUCCUGGUGUAGCGGUGGAAUGCGCAGAUAUCAGGAGGAACACCAAUAGCGAAGGCAGCUCGCUGGGACGGUACUGACGCUAAGGCGCGAAAGCGUGGGGAGCGAACAGG
rnacentral:rRNA from 1 species